UACGUAGGGUGCAAGCGUUAAUCGGAAUUACUGGGCGUAAAGCGUGCGCAGGCGGUGAUGUAAGACAGGUGUGAAAUCCCCGGGCUUAACCUGGGAACUGCAUUUGUGACUGCAUCGCUGGAGUGCGGCAGAGGGGGAUGGAAUUCCGCGUGUAGCAGUGAAAUGCGUAGAUAUGCGGAGGAACACCGAUGGCGAAGGCAGCUCGCUGGCCUGCAACUGACGCUGAGGCGCGAAAGCCGGGGGAGCAAACAGG
rnacentral:rRNA from 1 species